GCCUGGCUGGCUCAGUCAGUGGAGCGUACGACUCUUGAUCUGGAGGUUGUGAGUUCCAGUCCCACGUUGGGUG
rnacentral:tRNA from 1 species